UACGAAAGGUGCGAGCGUUAAUGGGAAUUACUGGGCAUAAAGCGUGCGGAGGCGGCUAUUUAAGUCGGAUGUGAAAGCCCCGGGCUCAACCUGGGAGGUGCAUCCGAUACUGGGUAGCUAGAGUGUGUCAGAGGAUGGUGGAAUUCCCGGUGUAGCGGUGAAAUGCGUAGAGAUCGGGAGGAACAUCAGUGGCGAAGGCGGCCAUCUGGGACAACACUGACGCUGAAGCACGAAAGCGUGGGGAGCAAACAGG
rnacentral:rRNA from 1 species